AUUUUUACACGGACGGAUCGUUUUUGUCCUCUGUUUCACAUCUUAUCUGUUUAAUAUAAGAUACGUCCCCUAUCUGGGGACCAUAUAUUAAAUGGACAUUUUGAAUAGGGAGAUGGAAGAAGAGCUUGCUCUGUCCACUCCACGCAUUGGCCUAGAUUUGCUGUUCCUCCAGGAGCGGUACACUCGUC